rnacentral:tRNA from 1 species
GGCGAUGUGGCCGAGUGGCUAGGCAACGGUCUGCAAAACCGUUUACACCGGUUCGAUUCCGGUCGUCGCCUCAA